rnacentral:rRNA from 1 species
UUACGGCUCAGUAACACGUCGAUAAUCUGCCCUAAGGUUGAGGAUACCCACGGAAAACUGUGGCUAAUACUUGAUAGUGAAUGGAUUCUGGAACGAACCAUUCAUUAAACGUAAGGCCUUAGGAUGAGUCGGCGGCGGAUUAGGCAGUNGGCGGUGUAACGGACCACCAAACCUUAGAUCCGUAGGGGCCCUGAGAGGGGUAGCCCCGAGAGGGACACUGAAAUACUGGUCCCAGCUCCACGGAGUGCAGCAGGCGCGAAACCUCCACAAUGCGCGAAAGCGUGAUGGGGGGAUCCUGAGUGCUUACAUUUUUUGUAAGCUUUUGCCAAGAGUUCACAUCUUGGAGAAUAAGUGGUGGGUAAGACCGGUGCCAGCAGCCGCGGUAACCCCGGCGCCACGAGUGGCAAUCUUAUAUUGGGCCUAAAGCAUUCGUAGCAGGUUUGAAAAAUCCUUUGUGAAAUUGUUGAACUCAAUACAACAGCGUGCAGAGGACACUUUCAGACUAGAGACUGGGAGGAGUUGGGGGUAUGCCUUGGGGAGCGGUUAAAUGUGAUAAUCCAAGGUAGACCACCUGUGGCGAAGGCGCCCAACUAGAACAGUUCUGACUGUGAGGGAUGAAAGCUAGGGGAGCGAUCCGGAUUAGAUACCCGAGUAGUCCUAGCUGUAAACACUGUGAGCUAGGUGUC